AAAGGUGACGACCCUUCGGGAGCCAUUACAGGUGUUGCAUGGCUGUCGUCAGCUCGUGUCGUGAGAUGUUCGGUUAAGUCCGCUAACGAGCGCAACCCUCGCUGUGUGUUAUAUGUGUCACACAGGACUGCUGGUAUUAAGCCGGAGGAAGGUGGGGACGACGUCAAGUCAGCAUGACCUUUAUAUCCAGGGCUACACACACGCUACAAUGGUCAGUACAAUGGGUUGCCAAGCCGCGAGGCGGAGCCAAUCCUAAAAAGCUGGCCUCAGUUCAGAUUGCAGUCUGAAACUCGACUGCAUGAAGUCGGAGUUGCUAGUAAACGCAGGUCAGCUAUACUGCGUUGAAUACGUUCCCGGGGCUU
rnacentral:rRNA from 1 species